GUUCAUUCGAUUUAGAGAAUCUCAGAAAAGAUUUCAACAAGUACAAUAAGGAAAUAUCCAAACUCAAGCGUGCUGGUGAAAAUAUUAGAGACUAAGAAAUUCAUAGCCGACAAAGAGGUUAAGGCUAAAUCAAAUAAAUGCUUUAGGCCAACAAUGUCGUGAUUAGAAUGUGGGGACAGAAAAGAGUAGAACAUAAACUCAAGAAUCAUAUGGAUUUCGUUGACCUUCUCGGGAUAGUAGAUUUGAAGAAAGGUUGCAAGUUAUUCAUCUAUUCAAGUCUAUAAUUUUCAGGUUUGCAAUGUGAUUUUGUGUCAAAUGUUGCACUUUUGUUCUAGUUGUUUGCUUCCUUUACAAUUUCUUGUGUGAUUUACCGUAUCCGCUGAACUUGUGCAUGAUUUGCACAAUACCUUUCUGCUGAAUUUUGACAGUUUAAGAAUUUUUAUUUGAUUCAACACUUUGUUUGAUUCCAUCUUUCUGUUUGAUGCCAUCUUGUAAGAAAAUAGUUUUUUACAAGUGGUGAUGUGCAUGACACACUCAAAAGUGAGAGACAGUGUUGUGUCAUAUGAAA